ensembl:misc_RNA 7SK 7SK RNA
GGAGUGAUCAGACUGUGACACUGUGUCAUAGUGUUGAUGUGGCUGGUCUGUCUGGACAGGCGGGGCAUCUGUUUCCUCUGUCACGACUCCAUGUGAAGCCUUCUGAAACUUCCUGGUAGGUGGAAGAGGACAAACUUCCCAGACAGAGGAGGGCCUUUCUCUGGUCAAUGGUAUGUGGGAAACUCUGCACCCCUGCAAGAACCUCCAAAUAAGCUCUCGGGGCUGCUUAAAUCAAGACACAAAAUCCUUAGGGCUCUUAAGAACCUGAAAAGUUUGUAAUGCUAGAAUUCCAGACACCAUGAGACAAUAUUCUACUUUUGAGU